ACUCCCGACCACAUCCAUUUUUUUUGAGAAAGACCACAGCCAUUCUAUUUGCCUCAUCUCCCCAUCUUCUGUCUCAUCUGCUUUCUUCCUCCGCACCGUCACCGCCAUCCUCUCGCCCUUUUCUGCUCCUACCGAUGUGGCCAUUGGCCCUGCACUCCCUCCUCUCCCUCUCAAGCCGGUUGGCGGCGUCGAGUAGGAGCUCGACGCCCACCUCUUCCUCCCACAGCGGCAGGCAACACGAGGGAGGAGAUCAAUGUCCUCCUCGCCAGUUUGAGCGGGGGGCUAUGGGAGGAGCGGCCGGUGCUCCUUCCAGAUCCAUCUACACCCAGAAUAUGCAUCGCUGUCCUCACCGCCAAUCCUCCCUCGCCGUCCUUAGUUCACAGUCAGCGGGGACGAACCGCAGGGGCCGCAGCAGCGGCCAACUCCGACCUGCCUCUGGCCUAAGCUACUUUCGUCGCCGUCCCCUUUGCCCCAUCCACACCUACCGGCUACCGCAGGUCCCCAUCUCCUCAACUUCCAUCCGCCGGUCCCAUGAACGCGGGAGGCAGCCGGCUGGAGUAGCUCGAGGGCCAGCAGGCAUCCUUGACGACCUACAGGCUGGAUCUUCACCUCCACAUGCGCAUCCUCAAUUCCAUUGUGAGCGGCAGAGGUGGGCACACACUAUGAGCUUGAACUCCACCAGCGUCUCAUCCACGAUGAGCUCUGUUUUUGCUCUUAGUUUGCUACGCGCAUUAGCAGCAAGUCCGCGCUGCCGCCGCCGACAACUUUCCAGUGUAUUCCGAACAAAUCUUCCAGCCUGCAGUUUGUACAGUAAUAAGCUUUAAUUUGGCAUGCCAUUUGCAAGGCCCAACUUGAGAACUCCAUGGAUCUUUCGUUCUUGAGAGCUACCAGAUGUGUUCUUCUCUCAUUUUCUCUCCUCUGCCGAUCCAACACAAGACACUAUGCAAAGUGCAGACCUCAUUGAUCAGAGAGGUCAACAGAAGAUCCUUGCACGUAUUGAUCGCAUUUGGGAAAGCAGAGACUACCAGACAAAUCGUAAUGUAUACGAGCUGGGUUCAUAUUGUGGACUGUGAGGGCGACACCAUGGAAGGUUGUGUGCUAGCAAACGGCAUUGAUCAGUACAAAUAAGUUCUGAGGAAAGGUCGGUUUAUACAUUCAAAGAUUUCAUUGUCAACGAUGCAUGCAAGAACUACAUAAUAACAGAUCAUCCAUAUAGAAUCAAGCUUGCUCAACGCUCCAUAGUUCAGGAAAUUUUACCACGCCCAAGAAAUUUCCCUCUCAUUGCAUACAAUGCAAAGCGAUUUGAGGUAUUGCAGACUCGCGUAGGAGAUAAUAAAGUUUUAUCAGAUGUUGGAUUUAUGACAAUACUAGCAGAUAUUAUCCCACAAAAAGAAAACCAUGAUCCAUGUAGAAAUAUUCACCUUAAAAAUGCAAGGUACAAUUUCAGACUCUUAUGCAUCAAUUCAGAUAUGUACUACAAUUACAUUAUGCUCUUAUGAAGAAAUAAAAAUAACCCACGCUAACAUGUAUUUCGUGCUGUAAUUGGAAAACAUGCCAUCUUCGCACUAUGGGGAGAACAUGCUGAAACCUUUGAUGUUGUUUCUCUCUAUAGAUCUUCUUCCAAAGACAGUAUUAUUAUGUUGUUUGUUGGCAUGACAGUUUCCGAGUACUCAAGUCUGUUGGUUCACAUUCCCGUAUUAAUUAUUUUCGCUAGGGUGUACACAUAUGGGAAUGUGAACCAAUUCUCCUUGGUGCUUUGUUUUAAGGAAUUCAGGCAAAAAAAAAGACCAAUUAUUAAUUGAAGUUCAAGUGUAGUGUGUAUUUACUACAUGUGAGCAUUAGGGGGUUACAAGUGGUGUACUUAGAUUAUAUCAUACGUGUUGUACAUGCAGCUAUGUUUGAGAGCCGAGAGACUUGGGGAUGCUUAUGUUUGGCUGUUCAUAAAUAGUUUUCUCAAUGUGAAUUUACAUUCAAUCUAUAAGGGAAUCAUAAGUCCAUAUUUCAGUCCCAAGAUAUUGUUAUAUAUUCUGAUAUGUGGUCCAGAGGUACCAUUGUGUGUAUUACUGUUUGUCAUACACAUACAUAUCAUAUAUCCUGUUGGCAGUAAAGUUAGCAUGUGGUCAUAUCUAGCCAAGGAAGCAUCAAAGAUGGCUGUUUCAGAACUCAACAGUUAUUUUGGGGUAUUGCAGAGUAGUAGCAGGCCAGACAUUGUGGAAUUUAGUCAAAUACUUUUAAAUAAACAACAUAGGAACACAUAAAUGAUGAAGUUUUAGAUAUAAUAUAAUGAUUUUAGCGUUCAGGUUAUAAUAUUAUUGAACCUGUCAAAAACUAAGGUGAUAAUACACAUGAAGGAUUAGAUGACCUCCACACAAAGUAUUUUGGAAUGGAGCAAAUAUGAAAUUUUAUAAGGUCGGAUGUUGCUCUGUUCCAGCGGCAUGGUAUUUUCUUAACUUAGUCAAGACAUGAGAAUUUUCAUUGUCUUGCUCUAUUAAAUCUCACAAUGAGGAACCUCCUGUUGAGCAAGAGAAAACGACCAUAGUUAUGGAACCAAAAUGUUAGUCAAAGGGUUCGGUGUGGAAUUAAGAUGCGACUUUGGAAAAAAAUCUUGGAGAAGGUUAUGCAAGAGAUCUGUAGAUAUCUUAUUUGUUUUGCUAGCUUAAACUACAUAACUUUGUAAGAGAUUUGUUGCCUGCUACAUUUGCUGUUAUGUUGUACAGAUGAGAUGAAUAUGUUACACAAUCUAGAAUACUUGCCUUCUCACACGAGAAUGAAAGAUUGAGAGAGAAGGAAUGAUGAAGGAAAAUAUCAUUUUUGGUCGGAUUGAAGCCUUGAUUUGAAUAAGGGAGCUCAUGCCAAAGACCAAAGAAGAUGCACAUAUUAGGCAUAAACUUAGAUAUCGAAGCCGCACGAUCCAUCUACACUGCCUAUCACAAGGAAGCAGACGCAGAAGAAAUGACUCCUCAGGAAGGAAGGGGAGCAUCUCCUCAACUGGAUAGAUGUUGGCUGCCCAAAUGAUUUGCAAAGAGGAGCCUUUCACAAUAAGCUCACCGGUGGUUCUCUUCUUUGCCAUAAUAAGCAAAAGCAAUGAAACUGAGACAAGUAAAAGAAUCAAGAUGAUUUUCCUGUCAUGUGUUUUAGGCUCUGGUUAUUACCAAGUGUGUGUCAUAUUUUAAAUUAAAUUGUACUGUUUUAUUUAUGUGUGAUGGUGUAAUGAAAUUUGUGACUGACAUACAAACUUACCAGCUAAUUUGCAUGUUAAUACACCCAUAAUGUAAUUCAUGUAUCACAUGCUUUUACA